rnacentral:snoRNA from 1 species
AUUCCAUGAUGAGGGCACUUUCGUAGUAAUUCUUUGUACCCUUCCCAUGCCUCAUACAAGGAAUCAUCAUCCAUUUGUUGGAAAGUAGUGAUCUCGUUCCUCAACUU